rnacentral:rRNA from 1 species
UACGUAGGGUGCAAGCGUUAAUCGGAAUUACUGGGCGUAAAGCGUGCGCAGGCGGUUAUAUAAGACAGAUGUGAAAUCCCCGGGCUCAACCUGGGAACUGCAUUAGUGACUGUAUAGCUAGAGUGCGGCAGAGGGGGAUGGAAUUCCGCGUGUAGCAGUGAAAUGCGUAGAUAUCAUGAAGAACACCGGUUGCGAAGGCGAUUACCUGGCUCGACACUGACGCUCAGGGACGAAAGCGUGGGGAUCAAACAGGAUUAGAAACCCUGUGUAGU